AGCGAACGCUGGCGGCAGGCCUAACACAUGCAAGUCGAACGAAGUCUUCGGACUUAGUGGCGGACGGGUGAGUAACACGUGGGAACGUACCUUUUGGUUCGGAACAACUCAGGGAAACUUGAGCUAAUACCGGAUGAGCCCUUAGGGGGAAAGAUUUAUCGCCGAAAGAGCGGCCCGCGUUAGAUUAGCUAGUUGGUGAGGUAAAGGCUCACCAAGGCAACGAUCUAUAGCUGGUCGGAGAGGAUGAUCAGCCACACUGGGACUGAGACACGGCCCAGACUCCUACGGGAGGCAGCAGUGGGGAAUCUUGCGCGAUGGGCGAAAGCCUGACGCAGCCAUGCCGCGUGAAUGAUGAAGGUCUUAGGAUUGUAAAAUUCUUUUACCAGGGACGAUAAUGACGGUACCUGGAGAAAAAGCCCCGGCUAACUUCGUGCCAGCCGCCGCCGUAA
rnacentral:rRNA from 1 species